UAAUUAUAAACAUAAUUAUAAUCAGGGAUCAGCUAAUUGCUUUACCAUGCACCGAAUUUAGAAAUAGCAGUUAAAUGCCUUUUCUACUACCAUAAAAGAUCUCCCAGACAGUAACACACUUUUUUACGUGGGCAAAAAGAAAAAAUAACGAAUUUACAUGACUCAGAUUAGCUACAUACACUAUGAUAGCAGAACAGGGCU